rnacentral:snRNA from 1 species
GAAUGUGGGUGACAUCUGGCUACAACACCCCCCAACCAGGUGAUUGUAGAUUGAUUUGGCUCACCUGGAUGGCUAAAGGGUGUCCUUCGUCUCACAUUGUUCCAAGUAGAGCCCUUCAAAAGCUGAGAAUUUGAUCAAAAAGAGGAAGCCUUCCAAAUAGAGGAGCACCUGUCUCUAGUCAGA